UUUUUUUUUCUUUUUUUGCUGUGCAAAAGAAGUCUGACUUAAAUAGCAAAACAGCUAUUAUUAUGAAUGUGUUUCAGAUAAUAUUCAAGUGAGUGGUAGCUUUUAUUUCAGAUCUAAAAAGCAAUCUGUUACUGCCUUUCCCACUUAUGCUUCCCUGUCAAGUAGGCAGUACCAAACUGGGGCUCUUAGCAGCUGAUCAUUUCCAGUUAGCUUUAAUUAUCAUCUAGUUCAUGACUUCCUUGGUAGGCUGGCUUCCUAUUUGGCCCUCACCCUAGUUUUCUACCCCUGUCUAAUAUGUUUUCUGUUACUGUAUAGCAAAUAACCAGAAACUGAGUGUGUUAAACUAGCAUACAUUUAGGAUCUCACAGGCACCUCCUAGCUGGCUUCUCUGCUCAGUCUCACAAAGCCAAAAUUAAGAUGUCUUCUGGGACUAAGGUCUCACCUGAGCCUUGGGGUCCUCUUCCAAAUUCAUGCAGUUGUUGGCAGGAUUCAUUUUCAUGCAGCUGUAAAAUGCAUGCCAGCCUGCUUCUUCAAAGCCAGCAUCCUGAACUCUAGACUCUCUUCUAAAGGUCUUACCUAGUUUGGUCAGGCCCACUCAGGGUCAUCUCCUUUUGAUUGACGUCAACUGAUUAUAGACCUUCCUUAAUCACCUCUGAAAAAUCACCUCAUCUUUGCCAUAUAACAUAACAAAUGUGGGAGUGAGGUCCCAUUGCCUUUGCUCUAUUCCUUUGGUUAGAAGCUAAUUACAGGUCCCACUGAUACUCAAGGGUGUGGGUCACUUCGGGGUCUCUUAAAUUUUCCUACCACAUUCUCCGUCUGGAUCAGAACAGAAAUGAGUACCUACUAGCCAUUCUGUCAUGCAUUCAGGACAGUGCAAUGUAAAUUCAUGCUCACGAAAAAUAUCUUAUGUCGUCUGUUUACAUCGCUGAAUCACAUCCCAAAAUCAAAUAUCACUGUUUUGAGAUUUUAGGGUUUUCCCCUAUUGGGCAACUAUGGCAUUAACAUGGCUUUAGAGCCAGUGGAGGUGAAAGGUGUGUGUGGUCAUUUUGAAUGUUGAAUUGUUCCUUUUCAGGGGAUAUCAGGGAGCAAAGAAAGCUGAGUCUAUUGAUAGAACUUGUCUUCAACCUCAAAUGGAAACUCAAAGGCGCUUCAGGAUAAGAUCAGUAAGGGUCGAAGGUCCAAAGGAUGUAUCAGCCUCUCCUGUGUUUGGAAUAAAGUGAGUUCUUCCUGUACCCUAGGGCCCUCAAAGGGAAAAUGAAUCCAGUCAUGACAUCCACAGUAAGGGUGGGCCAUAGCUCUACCAUUAGUGUUAAAAAAUGUUUCUCCAGGAGUUCCCUGGUGGAUCAGCAGGUGAAGGAUCCAGCAUUGUCACUGCUGUGGCUUGGGUUGUUGCUGUGGCAAGGUUUCUGUCCCUGGCCCAGUAACUUCCACGUGCUGUGAGUACAGCUAAAAACAAUGUUUCUCCAUAAACACUUUAAAGUAGUAUAAUUUUCAUUGCCUGUACCCUUCUACUUUUGCAUUACCAGUUUCUUUUCAUUGUAGGUCUGGCCCUGGAAAUCCUGGUAAAAUUACAAGUAGACUAAAAAGUGUCAUUCACAGCACAAGUAACAAGUUGUAAGUAAGAUUUUGUCCAAUCUAAGAGUCAAAAAAUUGUAGAUUUUGAGAUGUACUCCUUGGAAGAGAGAAUUAGAGGAGCACCCAAAACCCAUGUGUGUGCACAUGUAUGUAUGUAUAUUGACCCUUUUCACACUUCCUCAUUGCUUUGCACAUAUAACCCUAAAAUGAUGAUAAUACCAGCCAUUCAUUGGUGCAUGGUGCUCCAGCCAUGUUGUGUGCAAUAUUGCUUAUCUUUCUGCCUAUCUAUCUAUCUGAUAUUAUUAAUGUAAUACAGACAAUGUUAGUCUUGCCCUACCUUUGAAAUUAACAUAAAGUUGGUUUGAAUGUCUUAAUUUUCUGUAGAAAUCCAAUUUUCUCAUCAAGAUUGGGAUAGAUUCUUGUGGUCAUUGCUAGAUCGGAUUUCAGGUUUCUGCUGAAUUCGCACUCUCAUUGGUAUCUAGCCUUCGGAGCUUUUCUCUUAUCUGUUCCACAGACCCACUGACCCCCAAAGAGAACAGAACUGGCUACAUAAUUUGUAGGGCUCAGUGCAAGAGGAAAAUAACGAGCCCCUUGGUCAGAAAUAAUUAAGAAUUUCUAGGUGGUGACAGGAGAACCUUAAACCAGGCACAUGGCCUAAGCAUGGGAGUGUGACUGCACAGGUCAUGUGUCCGCAGAGGUAGUCCUGACCUAGCAUUUCCCAAAAUACCAGUUCUUACAAGGCAAUAAGAUGGACUAUACAUUUAUUAAAGAGCCUAGGGUAAAAGUAGAAGCAUGUUUUGUCUGGGGAUCAACAGCAGCUCACAGCAGAGAACUUCAGAUUAAAUAGUUCCCUCAAAGUUCUUUUCCAUAUCUACUAAAAUUUAGUUUAUUGAUAAUUUCCUCUUUUUUUUCCCCUUAAUAUCUUUCUAAACCAUGGCCCACAUCCAGCGUUUGAGUGUCGGUGCUCAUCAAAGCAUUUUACUGGGCAAAAACUUGACCUACUCCUAAGAGAAAACUAUCUCCUUCCCUAGGGAUGGAAGUAGGAAUCUCUGUAUUUUAAAUAACAACUUAUUCUCCCUGCUGCAAAUUAUUCUCUUUUUUUUUGCAAGGUAUUAUUAUGAUCAUUCUCAUUUUACAGGUGAGGAGUUCUGGUGCUCAAGGGAACAUAGCUGGCGUAUCUAGAUUCAACAUUUACCUCCUUUGGGGGUUGAAUUGGAGCUGUACCACUGACCUACCAUAACCACAGCAAAGCCAGAUCUGGGCCGCAUUUCUGACCUACACCGCAGCUCAUGGCAACGCCGGGUCCUUAACCCACUGAGUGAGGCCAAGGAUCGAACCUGCGUCCUCAUGGAUGGUAGUCAGUUUUGUUUCUGCUGAGCCACGACAGGAACUCCAACAUUUGCCUUCUUUCCACUAUGCUUGCUUCUCUCCAAAUCUGGAAAGGCUUAUGAGAAACGACACGUUAGCCCCAGAACGCGCCGAUACUCUCUCUGUGGGGAUGCAGCAUGCUGUAAGUCUUUCAGUGUCUCCACUAGAACCCAACAGUUCAUACUGUUGGAGUUAGACUCUCAUGAGAAGCAAGAUCAGCCAGUGGGAUAUCCUGAAAGGUUGGGCUGUGUCUGUCUUCCUUUCUUGGGCAAUGCGGGAUUGAAGGACUGGUUAAGACACAUUUCUUCAACUUUCUAUAGACCUGGAGACCAUCAUCGUUAUCCUUGUGCUCUAUGUACAGUGAAAAACAUAACUAUCCUCCUCGGACUGUCACAGCCACUCUUGGUACUUAAUUUCCCUCUUUCUCUACAAGAGAGGAGGAAUUGUGCAAUACUUGGAGGAUAUCCUUGGUGACAUUUUGUCUGUUGUUGGUGUGGCCCAAGGACUGUGGUCAAUCCAUUACUGAAUCUUAGGAUAACCUAAGCUAACUGACCCAUCAAACUCUCUGUGUAUUCAAUCUGGGUAUGCGUGAAUGUGCUGCUGUCCACUUUUUGGACUAAAAGUGUGAAAUAUGCCUCCUUAUAAAUAGAGUGAUUAUAUAAUUUCAAUUUUCAGCAUCGAAAUCUGGACAGUUUUAAGAGUGAAAAUGUACUAAAAUAUUAAUUAUAUAAUUUUUUAAAACAUACAUUUAUUAACCAACAAUUUAGUUUUAUUAGAAUCGGAGUUCCCGUGGUGGCGCACAGUAACAAACUUGGCUACUAUCAAUGAGGACGCCAGUUCAAUCCCUAGCCUUGCUUAGUGGGUUAAAGAUCCAGAGUUGCUGUGAGCUGUUGUGUAGGUUGCAGAUGUGGCUUGGAUCUGACAUUGCUGUGGCUAUGGUAUAGGCUGGCAGGUGCAGCUCUGAUUCAACCCCUAGCCUGGGAACUUCCUUAUGCUGUAGGUGCGGCCCUAAAAAAAAAAAAAAAAAAAAAAAGAAAAA
rnacentral:lncRNA from 9 species